GACGAACGCUGGCGGCGCGCUUAACACAUGCAAGUCGAACGGAAAGGCCUGCUUUCCCUUGUGGAUUGCGGGUACUCGAGUGGCGAACGGGUGGGUAACACGUGAGUGAUCUGCCCCCAACUUGGGUAUAAGCCUGGGAAACUGGGUCUAAUUCCCGAUAGGACUGCAGGGUGGUGCCUGUGGUGGAACACGAUUUUCUAGUGGUUGGGGAUGAGCUCGCGGCCUAUCAGCUUGUUGGUGGGGUAAUGGCCUACCAAGGCGGCGACGGGUAGCCGGCCUGAGAGGGUGGACGGCCACAUUGGGACUGGGAUACGGCCCAGACUCCUACGGGAGGCAGCAGUGGGGAAUAUUGCACAAUGGGCGGAAGCCUGAUGCAGCGACGCCGCGUGGGGGAUGACGGCCUUCGGGUUGUAAACUCCUUUCGACCGCGAGGAAGCCACCUGGUUGGAAGGGUGGUGACGGUAGUGGUAGAAGAAGCACCGGCUAACUACGUG
rnacentral:rRNA from 1 species